ACGCAAUUACGCAACAACGUCCGUUCUCAGCCUUCAAGUUCCAUGGUUUUCCGGUUGCUAACCCUCCUUUUGCCGGUAGAUAACGUGAUCAACAAAUCCCUAGUGUAAAAUAUGGUUUAGAUACUAGAAAAACAAGAAAGAUUACUGGACUCAAGUAGAUGCUAUUAUAAGAUUGAAAUCCAUAUAUUAUUUUGUGAGAUUGAUGGUUGUUUUAUUUAUUAAUUUUUAUACCAUCUAUGCCUGGAGUUUAAUUGAAGCUGCUAGGGUUCCAAACAGUUCGUUAACCUUGUUUUCUUUUCUUACUACACUACGAAUUUCUAUACUCUUCACGGACAUCCAUGAUGUUCUACCAGUGUUAAUGGCGAUAUGAGGCUUCUUUAAUUUCCAAGGUAAUAAGUUCAGUCUUUUUCAAUUAAUCUGAGUAAAUUUUCUAUCCCUUUUCGAUCUAUAUAUCUUCGUCGAUUUUAUUGCUCCAGGAUGGAAUGAUCAUGGCGUCAUUCUCUUGGAACAAGUUGAUUAUAAGAGUCAGGCUCCCACAAUUUUGAUGGAAAUUAAUUAUCAACGUUGUAUUUAUUGGUAUAUAUAUUUUUUAUAAAUGGUUUUGCACUAAUAUGGAUGGAGAAAAUUCAAUGAUAAGAAUAAACACGAUCAUAAUCCUUUUGAAUUUAUAGUUAUGAUUCCCAAAAGCACAAGGAAAGUAAUAGACAGCAGGGAGCAACACAACGUGACGAAAGAGAUAACCUUGGACUGUUAUUUGAUGAUAUAGAUCCGUGGGACAGUUGAUUAAGAAUAGUGAUUUGAUGAAUAAGGUGGUGGAUCCUCAAAUUAACAUACGUUAUAAGCUAUAUAUAACUAUAUCAUAAAUGAUAAAACUAUGAGAAGUUAAAUAUCAUCCAACCAAAUCUACCAAAUCUUCC
rnacentral:lncRNA from 1 species